UGUCCUCUUGGAUUAGGCACUGUUUGACUAGGAAAUUUGCCUUUUUCUCUGUCUGAAAUCUGUGCAGCUAGCUGCCCAAAUUGUUGCUCCAAACUUUUAAUUGAUGCUUUAACAUUUUGAAUUCUUUGAUUGCUGCCUUCCAUGAAUGUUUGUGUUGUAGCUGCCAGUUUAGAAAGUUGAUCUUCCAAGGAUGGUUUUGAUGGCACAAAAGGUUUUUGUACAUGCUGGAAUGGUUUUGAAUUAUUCUGAUUAUCACCCCAUUUGAAAUUAGGAUGAUCCCUCCAUCCUGGAUUGUAAUGAGUUGCAUAUGCAUCAUUCCUAGGCCUUUGAUAGCUGUUCAUCAUAUUAACAUGUUGCUCCACAAGCUCUGGACAUAUUAGGAGAACCUGCUGAUAACUCAAAAAUGCCCCUUUUCUGUGAAUGUUCUGCUGCCCAUUGUUGAGAUUCUGUAGCUAUUGUAUCAAAUAAUUCAAAUGCUUCUCUUGCAAAUUUAUUUGACAAUGAACCCCCAGCUGAGGCAUUAACAUGGCUUUUGGAUGUAGGAUUAAGCCCAUCAAAGAAAAUAUUCAUUUGUGUAUCUGGAUGAAUAUUAACAUGUGGACAUUUUAUAUACAUCUCUGUAUAUCUCUCCCACUCUUCAUGAAAUUCUUCGUUUGGCUUUUGAGUGAAUGUCAUAAUCUCCCUCUUGUAAUUCAAUGUCUUGGAUGUCGGAUAAUAUUUGUUCAGGAAUCUUGUAUGCAAUUGUUGCCAAGUAGUAAUGCUAUUAGCUGGUAGAGUGAAUAACCAAGUUUCUGCCUUA